rnacentral:lncRNA from 1 species
CAGGUCUCUUGAGACAUGCACAUAAUUUAAAUAGCUGGCUCUAGUUUCUCUUCCUAAAACACGAAAGUCCCCAGCUCUACCCUGGGGAGAAACAUCUGUAGUUUCAAUUCAAAAUGUGAAGUGUCUUGCAGUCUCCAGCAGCAGCAUCUGGCACUACUGGAAGGAGGGCAGGGGAGGGCUGCUUCUACGGGAGGCUCUGCAAGACUCUACCUGGCACAUUUCUUACCAGAACCCAUUCAUCCACAAGUCUCUCCUCAUUACCACUGCAGGCUUCCAGGCUACAGCAUGUUAGGACAGCAGAGUCUCUUCCAUCUUCAGCAUGCUGCAUUAUGAACAAGCAAUUCAAGGAUUUCUUCAAAAUUCCCCUCGAGCUUCAGGGCAGAUUUUCUGCAACUACAAAGAGACGCCCAGGAACUUCACUAUCCAUCAAACUUUUCUUAAAAACUUCUCUAUCAGGAAGGCUGCAAAAAUAAGUAAAGAAAUGAAUAUAAAAUUAAUGCUAGCCAAGGCCUACUGAGGAUCCCUGCUGCAGUGCAUGGCAAUGGUUGACUACGUGGACCAAAAGGGAACAAUGGGCAUUGGGAGGACCCCCAGCAUGGCUAUAGGAGUGGAAGAAGGAUGUUGUGCUGUCCUCAUGCCUGGCAGCACACCCAAAACGGAGAGGUGCCUGGGCAAAACCUGGCUUUGCCUGCUAACCUGCCUGCUCUACCCAGAGGCUUCUGGCUGCCUUUUGUACAGGGAAGUGGGAAGGCUGCCCUGGGCAGAAUUUGUGACAGCUAAGGAGACCUAGGAAAUCCUGCUUUCUCUGCUGAGAUAGCUCAAAACAGGAAAAGCGUUCUUCCAAGGACACAGGGGUGAGAAAUAAGCAAAUCAAAGCAAGAAAACCAAAAGAAACGUACAAAAAUAGCCCUACACACAUCCAAUACAUCAUUUUUUUCUUGUUCUUCAUUGGACCCUAUGAAGGACGGGUAUUUUGCAAGUCUGACCUGUCUCUGAGGCCCUUUACAAGUUGUUCUUCACUGACACCAUUUAAAUGAAAUGUUUGGUUACCUGUAUCCCUUGCCUCUUUGUUCUUAAAAUGUGCUCUCGUAUUUUUACUAGAAACAGUCUGUCCAAGUG